rnacentral:misc_RNA from 1 species
GUUUUGCGGAAAAUAUUUUCUAGCAUUUAUGCACUCAGAAAAUAAGUGGUCGAAGAGAAACUAAGCCAUUUUCCUUGAAAAUGACUCUCUCCUUUCAAAAAAGAAGAAAGUCAUUUUCUGGAACAUUGACAAUCUUAUUACUAUUAGUUUAACUUCACAGCCAAACAAUGAAAAAUAUUUUCAUAGAAUACAUUUUCUUGGAAAAUAAUUUUUAUAUAAAAGUUAUUUUCAUGAAACAAACCAAGCUUAAAUGAAAAAAUAGGAUAGCCAAUUGCAUUAUACGCCACUCCAUUCGGCUGCUUAUCUAAUUAUGUAAUUCAUUCCAUUCUAUUA